GCUCCUUCUGGGCUUUCAAGAGAAAUACUGAAGGAGGAUUCGCUGUGAACCAGAUCGAUACGAUGGUUUCCAUUUUUGGCUUUUUGGCAUCUUCGCUUAUGUUAGUCGUUGUGUGCCUAGUUGUAUAUACAGUGAUACGACAUGCAUUUCAGUCUGUGUAAAUGCACAUGCUUCCGAGAGACCAAGCAGCACAGGCUUCCGUGAGGCACACGUCUGUCAACCGCGAGUGGAGUGAGAGGAGUGGCGCUAGUCCCCUCUCUUGAAACCUUUGUAACUAUUAAGGCUGAAGUGCCAUUUAAAGAAAAAGGAAGGCAAAGAAAUGAGCUAUAGGAAGCCAUGAGUCUGUUACUGAGACAAGAGUAAGCUCAUCCUGCCCCGACAGCCGCAGAGUGAGUUGGCAUAACGCGCUGUGAGGAAGAAGUGGCAC